ensembl:lncRNA
GCAGACGCCAGAUUAACCAUGUAUCCUUUUAGGCUGUGACAACGAAAAGGUAGCAGACAGAUCUACAGUAUGUUUUAGCAUGGCUGUGACAAAGAAAAGGUAGCAGACAGAUCUACAGUAUGUUUUAGCAUGGUUGUGACAACGAAAAGGUAGCAGACAGAUCUACAGUAUGUUUUAGCAUGGCUGUGACAACGAAAAGGCAGCAGACAGAUCUGCAGUAUAUUUUAGCAUGGAAGUUUGGUAGGGUGACCGGAUUUGUAACUGAAAAUAAUUUAGCAAACAGACUGUGAACCGAAAAGUGUAUGUUUGAUUCUAGAGGGGGACAAUAAAUAAUUUGGUUAGGGUGUAGAGGCAGAUAUGUCAUCUUGUUUUCAGGAGAUUUUAUUAUCUAUUUACAUGAUUUAGUCUGAUCAGUGGAACAAUUCUUACCAAUGGGCUAAAAUAUAGGGUCUUUAGUGUGCUUGUCAGCUAGAACACUACUAUUAUUCCCCACACUUAUUUCACUAUUCCACUUUUUCCCAUUUUUGUCAGUGUAAUCACAUAUUUUAAAUCUGUUAUGACUACUUGUGUCUUUUGAAAAGGAAUUAUAUGAGGCUAUGUAUUAUUGCAGCCAUUAAU